AUUGAACGCUGGCGGCGUGCCUAAUACAUGCAAGUCGAACGAAGAUCUAGCUUGCUAGAUCUUAGUGGCGAACGGGUGAGUAAUACAUAAAUAAUCUGCCCAUAUGACUGGGAUAACUAUUGGAAACGAUAGCUAAUACCGGAUAGGUUAAUCGGAGGCAUCUCUGAUGAAUUAAAGUAGGAUUUCUACACAAAUGGAUGAGUUUAUGGCGCAUUAGUUAGUUGGUGGGGUAACGGCCUACCAAGACGAUGAUGCGUAGCCGACCUGAGAGGGUGACCGGCAACACUGGGACUGAGACACGGCCCAGACUCCUACGGGAGGCAGCAGUAGGGAAUUUUCGGCAAUGGGCGCAAGCCUGACCGAGCAACGCCGCGUGAGUGAUUAAGGCCUUCGGGUUGUAAAGCUCUGUUGUAAGGGAAGAACAUUCAGGAUAGGAAAUGAUCUUGAACUGACGGUACCUUACCAGAAAGCCACGGCUAACUACGUGCCAGCCGCCGCAGUAACAC
rnacentral:rRNA from 1 species